rnacentral:rRNA from 1 species
UACGAAGGGGGCUAGCGUUGCUCGGAAUCACUGGGCGUAAAGGGUGCGUAGGCGGGUCUUUAAGUCAGGGGUGAAAUCCUGGAGCUCAACUCCAGAACUGCCUUUGAUACUGCAAAUCUCGAGUCCGGAAGAGGUGAGUGGAAUUCCGUAGUGUAGAGGUGGAAUUCGUAGAUAUUAGGAAGAACACCAGUGGCGAAGGCGGCUCACUGGUCCGGUACUGACGCUGAGGUGCGAAAGCGUGGGGAGCAA